CAAACGUGAAGCUUUGACUGAUCGCAAAAGACAGAAAUUGGAUGAUGAGAAGCAAGAGAAUACAACUAAAAACAAUUCACUUGAAAUCCCAUCCUUGAAGCAGAAGAAGUAUGACGAGAAUGUCUUGAGAUUGGUUGAAGAGCAUAAGAAGGAGAAACAGGAGGCAUUAGCUAAAAUUCUUGUACUGGAAAAACAACUGG